GGGAUCAGUCGAUUUGACGUUUGGCUUGGGUCGUUUAAUAUUGAACGACCCAAGCCAAACGUCAAAUCGACUGAUCCC
rnacentral:pre_miRNA from 1 species